AAUGAACGCUGGCGGCAUGCCUUACACAUGCAAGUCGAACGGCAGCAUGACCUAGCUUGCUAGGUUGAUGGCGAGUGGCGAACGGGUGAGUAAUGCAUCGGAACGUGCCUUUUAGUGGGGGAUAACGUAGCGAAAGUUACGCUAAUACCGCAUAUUCUCUGAGGAGGAAAGCAGGGGGCCUUCGGGCCUUGCGCUAGAAGAGCGGCCGAUGUCGGAUUAGCUAGUUGGUGAGGUAAAGGCUCACCAAGGCAACGAUCCGUAGCGGGUCUGAGAGGAUGGUCCGCCACACUGGGACUGAGACACGGCCCAGACUCCUACGGGAGGCAGCAGUGGGGAAUUUUGGACAAUGGGCGCAAGCCUGAUCCAGCCAUGCCGCGUGAGUGAAGAAGGCCUUCGGGUUGUAAAGCUCUUUCGGCUGGGAAGAAAUCGCACUCUCUAAUACAGGGUGUGGAUGACGGUACCAGCAUAAGAAGCACCGGCUAACUACGUG
rnacentral:rRNA from 1 species